rnacentral:lncRNA from 1 species
GGAUUUACUAUCCUAAGUAAAUCUUUCCUGUUUCAAAUGCUACUAUUUCUUCGUGGGCAGAAAGUCAAAAAUCAUCUUUUUCCGGUACUCCUUACUCUUUUCUCCCGUCGUCCUACUUUCACUUCUACAAAACAAAACAAGAAAGUGGCUUUUUCUAUCAGAAAAUGAAUCUGCUUUCUGAUGGCCAUUUCGGUCCGUUGUGGGACCACGGCUU